UACGUAGGGGGCUAGCGUUGUCCGGAUUUAUUGGGCGUAAAGAGCGUGUAGGCGGCCAGAUAGGUCUGCUGUGAAAACUCGAGGCUCAACCUCGAGCUGUCGGCGGAAACCAUCCGGCUAGAGUCCGGAAGAGGGGGGCGGAAUUCCCAGUGUAGCGGUGAAAUGCGUAGAGAUGUGGAGGAACACCGAUGGCGAAGGCAGCCCCCUGGGAUGAGACUGACGCUCAUGUACGAAAGCGUGGGGAGCAAACAGG
rnacentral:rRNA from 1 species